UACGUAGGGUGCAAGCGUUGUCCGGAAUUAUUGGGCGUAAAGAGCUCGUAGGCGGUCUGUCGCGUCGGCUGUGAAAACUCGGGGCUCAACCCCGAGCUUGCAGUCGAUACGGGCAGACUAGAGUGCGGUAGGGGAGACUGGAAUUCCUGGUGUAGCGGUGAAAUGCGCAGAUAUCAGGAGGAACACCGGUGGCGAAGGCGGGUCUCUGGGCCGUAACUGACGCUGAGGAGCGAAAGCGUGGGGAGCGAACAGG
rnacentral:rRNA from 1 species